AAUAAGAUUUUUGUAAAACCAAAAUAAUAAUAACUCGUUCUGUACUGCAUUGCGAAUUCGUUUCUUAGUCUGGAGUUAUAUAUUCGAGUGUUCGAGUGAUGUAGCAAACACAUUUUCAUUUAUAGCAUUAUCUUCUAUACACCUCCGCAGGAGUGAAACUACCCGAGUGUACAUUUAUUGCACUUUUACUUGAGUGGAUUUCGCAGAAAGAUUCGGUCGGUUUGGCCGAAAAUUACAACAAUUUGUGGCGUACAAUCGAGAUCGUGCGAUAUAAUGUUUUGCUAUUGUUGGUAACGUACAACCGAAACCCAAAAACCAAAUAAGCGGUAACGUAAAAACCGAUUGCACGAAAUCCGUGAAAACCAAUUGACCGGAUACAGUUAAAGUACGAGAAGAACCGCAAAAUCGGCAAAAAACCGGAUCGCCACCAGACUACGUCUAUAAGCCGUGCGUUCCCAAGUGAAAAAGGACCGCGUG